rnacentral:rRNA from 1 species
UACGGAGGGUGCAAGCGUUGUCCGGAAUUAUUGGGCGUAAAGAGCUCGUAGGCGGCUUGUCGCGUCGGCUGUGAAAACCUGGGGCUCAACCCCGGGCCUGCAGCCGAUACGGGCAAGCUAGAAUUCGGUAGGGGAGACUGGAAUUCCUGGUGUAGCGGUGAAAUGCGCAGAUAUCAGGAGGAACACCGGUGGCGAAGGCGGGUCUCUGGGCCGAAAUUGACGCUGAGGAGCGAAAGCGUGGGGAGCGAACAGG